UUGUGAUCCAGGCAGGAAGUGACAUAGCAGGCAGAGUCAGAAUUGCUCCCUUCCUCCUCCUCUCUUCUCUGGAGCCACCAUGUGAUCUUGGCAAGAGAAGAUGCCUUCCUCUGGCGUCCUUAUAUGUUUAAUGGUAUGAGGAAUCGAGCUCCCUACGGAAUGGACAUCUCAGCAAAUGUCCAGAGCAGUGCUCAUUUUCAGGAGCACAGCUGAAGAGAUGACCCCAACACCCUCGCUACCAGAAUAUGUGGACUAUCUUGUAUCAGAAGGACAGAGAGCAUGGCUAUACCACAAGUCUUCAUGCUGCCAAUGGGGGAAAACAGUCAUGGAGCCUACAACUCUGCUGAAAGAGGAGGUGGAGAGAGGCAGAGCCCCAGGAGCCAGAGAGCUGAGUCCAUCACAUCAGCUGGAUGCAACUCAAUCAGGGCUCUGGAUUCCCGUUAAAGGGCAGUGGAAGCCCAUUUUUUGCCCUAAAGGGAAACAUGAUUAUAAAAUAGUAAAAUCAAUGCUUGGCUAUCGUCCAAAAAGAGUAUUGGAGUCUAUGAAGAAAAUUACAACUCCAAUAAGAAGUCUUUCUGGGGUGUUUCAAGUUUUGAUUAAGGGAAGAUAUGUGUUACAGGGAAGUGAUCUAUCAGAAGUGUGA
rnacentral:lncRNA from 1 species